AACAGUAUGAAUAAUUAAGUAUACAAAUAUAUUCUAACAUAUUUUGUGUUUUAGUAUCAAUAAGUCUUUGUGACAUAGUAUCAAUCAGUCUUUGUCUCAGUCACUCAACCUCAAAGAUCAACACAGGCUGCUAGGCUCGGCAAAUUAUAUUCUGACCUUUCACCUCUGCCCACUCUGGUCAGGUAGCAAAUGAGAUCUAAACUGAAGGCAUCUGUAGGUCUCCAUUUGUUCUCCAGGGACUGAAAAUUUAUGUAACAAAAUCAUUACACAUUAUAUCACUCCACUUUGCAUGAACAUUAGUCUCUACUUAUAAGAGGACCCUGGACUCAGCUCCAGCAUUAACUACAUUUUUCUUAUCACCUAUUUUGGAAUAAAAGUGUGCUGCACCUGUACAGGUUUUGCACACCUCCAGUGUUUCCAGUGGCUUUGGAAAGAGGAAGCUCUUCCAAGACCUAAUGAAGCAGCAAUUACAUCUGAAGAGGGAGCCAAGCCAAGAAUUCUACCAUUCCAAUAGCUCUCCUUUGAACAUCAUGCU